GAUGAACGCUGGCGGCGUGCCUAAUACAUGCAAGUCGAGCGAAUGGAUUAAGAGCUUGCUCUUAUGAAGUUAGCGGCGGACGGGUGAGUAACACGUGGGUAACCUGCCCAUAAGACUGGGAUAACUCCGGGAGACCGGGGCUAAUACCGGAUAAUAUUUUGAACUGCAUGGUUCAAAAUUGAAAGGCGGCUUCGGCUGUCACUUAUGGAUGGACCGCGUCGCAUUAGCUAGUUGGUGAGGUAACGGCUCACCAAGGCAACGAUGCGUAGCCGACCUGAGAGGGUGAUCGGCCACACUGGGACUGAGACACGGCCCAGACUCCUACGGGAGGCAGCAGUAGGGAAUCUUCCGCAAUGGACGAAAGUCUGACGGAGCAACGCCGCGUGAGUGAUGAAGGCUUUCGGGUCGUAAAACUCUGUUGUUAGGGAAGAACAAGUGCUAGUUGAAUAAGCUGGCACCUUGACGGUACCUAACCAGAAAGCCACGGCUAACUACGUGCCAGCCGCCGCGGUAA
rnacentral:rRNA from 1 species